CAACCUGCCGCUUACUCGGGGAUAGCCUUUCGAAAGAAAGAUUAAUACCCGAUGGUAUAAAGAGUUCGCAUGUUCUCUUUAUUAAAGAAUUUCGGUAAGCGAUGGGGAUGCGUUCCAUUAGAUUGUUGGCGGGGUAACGGCCCACCAAGUCUACGAUGGAUAGGGGUUCUGAGAGGAAGGUCCCCCACAUUGGAACUGAGACACGGUCCAAACUCCUACGGGAGGCAGCAGUGAGGAAUAUUGGUCAAUGGACGCGAGUCUGAACCAGCCAAGUAGCGUGAAGGAUGACUGCCCUAUGGGUUGUAAACUUCUUUUAUAAGGGAAUAAAGUGAGGGACGUGUCCCUUUUUGUAUGUACCUUAUGAAUAAGGAUCGGCUAACUCCGUGCCAGCAGCCGCGGUAAUACGGAGGAUCCAAGCGUUAUCCGGAUUUAUUGGGUUUAAAGGGAGCGUAGGUUGACGUAUAAGUCAGCUGUGAAAGUUUACGGCUCAACCGUGAAAUUGCAGUUGAUACUGUAUGUCUUGAGUGUACAAGAGGUGGGCGGAAUUCGUGGUGUAGCGGUGAAAUGCUUAGAUAUCACGAAGAACUCCGAUUG
rnacentral:rRNA from 1 species